UAAGAGUUUUAUUAUAGUUAUUUUUAAUUUUCUUUUUAAGUAAUAAUGAACUUUUCUAUUAUAUUUUCUGUAGAGGUUAUUAAAUUUUUAAAGUUUAAUUAAUAUUUUUUACCUUUUGUAUCAGGGUUAAUUAAAUGUAUUAAUUAUUUUUUUUCCCGAAAUUAAAGUAUUUAAUAUAAUUUAAAUUUAUUUGUUACAAAAAAUUUUUUUAUAUUUUAUUUAUAAUUAAAAGUUAUUUGACUUUAAUUUAUAUCUGGUUACUUUAGAAUAAAUUUAAUUUUGAAUUAUUUAAUUUUUUAUUUUUAAAUAAUAAUUUUAUUUUAUUAGGGAUAAUCUUAAUAUUUAAGUAUAAUGAUUAUUAUUUUAUUUGUAUUAAUUUUUAAAUUUUAUAUAAAGUUUAUAAUAAAUUAAUUUAAAUUUAUUAGAUUUAAUUUUAUUUAUUUUUUUAUAAAGUGAAUUUAAUUAUUUUUUUUUAUUUUUUAUAAUGAUUAAAUUAGUAUAGUACAAAUAUAUAUAAAUUGAAUUCGACAAUUGUUUAUUUCCAACUGUUUAUCAAAAACAUUUCCUUUAGAUGAUAUUUAAAGGUAAUUUCUGCCCUAUGAGUAUUUAAAUGGCUGCAGUAUUCUGACUGUACAAAGGUAGCAUAGUAAUUAGCUUCUUAAUUAGGGGCUUGUAUGAAUGAAUUAAUGAGAAAUUAAUUAUAAUUAUUUAUAAUUCUUAAAUUUAAUUUUUUAGUUAAAAAGCUGAAUUAAUAAUAUGGGACGAAAAGACCCUACAGAACUUAAAUUAAAUUUUUAAAUAUAAUUUUAAUUUAAAUAAAUUUUAAUUUUUUAUUUUUUAUUGGGGUGAUAAAUAAAUUUAAACUUUAUUUUUAAAAUUCUUAUUAAUAGAUUAUUUUUGAAUCAAUAAAUUUGAUGGAAGAAAAAGUUACCUUAGGGAUAACAGCGUAAUUUGGGUGGAGAGUUCUUAUUUAUAUUCAAGUUUGCGACCUCGAUGUUGAAUUAAGAUAAAUUUUUGGAGCAGUAUUUUUUUGGUUAAGUCUGUUCGACUUUUAAAUUCUUACAUGAUUUGAGUUCAAACCGGUGUAAGCCAGGUUGGUUUCUAUCUUUAUUAAUUAAAUUUACUUUAGUACGAAAGGACCAAGUAUUUUAUUAUUAUUUAAUAUAUAUAAAAAAUAAAUUUAAUUUA
rnacentral:rRNA from 1 species